CCACAGGCCCAGUGACAGCUCUGGAGUUGAAUGGGGACGGGGUAGUGGAGGCCUGCAAGAGCAUGGCCAGUGAGAUGUUCAGUGGAACCAAGGUGUUUGUUUCAGACAACAGAAAUACUUCCUCUCGAGAUGUGGACAACUUCUUCAACUUCGCUGACAUGCAGAUGGGCUUGUGAUUGAGUCACUGUAUGACAAUCAACUUACUACACAACCAAGGAUUUUUUUGUUAUAUUUUUUAUACUAGUAGGUAGCGGAGAAGGACAGGUUACUCAACAUGGUAGUGGAGAAGGACAGGUUAAUCAACAUAGUGGAGAAGGACAGGUUAAUCAACAUAGUGGAGAAGGACAGGUUAAUCAACAUAGUGGAGAAGGACAGGUUACUCAACAUAGUGGAGAAGGACAGGUUAUUCAACAUAGUGAUGGUAGGUAGCGGAGAAGGACAGGUUACUCAACAUAGUGGAGAAGGACGGGUUACUCAACAUAGUGAUGGUAGGUAGUGGAGAAGGACAGGUUAAUCAACAUAGUGGAGAAGGACGGGUUACUCAACAUAGUGGAGAAGGACAGGUUAAUCAACAUAGUGGAGAAGGACGGGUUACUCAACAUAGUGGAGAGGGACAGGUUAUUCAACAUAGUGGAGAAGGACAGGUUCAGUAGUUAUAACGAGCAGUCAGGGGGGGAAACGCUGUAUUAGUUAUUUGGCUAUUUUCAUUUCUUGAAAAUCAAGAAAGUAUUCUCUUGUUUAUAUUGUGGUUCUUCGCUGUUCUGUUCGGUAAUUGUGUGUGUGUGUGUGUGUGUGUGUGUGUGUGUGUGUGUGUGUGUGUGUGUGUGUGUGUGUGUGUGUGUGUGUGUGUGUGUGUGUGUGUGUGUGUGUGACACAUUGAAACCAUUGUGGUGAAUGAUCGGUGUAGAGUGAAGUUGCCCCUAGAUUCUGAUCUUGAAUCAGUUUUGCAUUUCCUCCACUGUUUUAUGUUGGGAUUUGUGGAGGUGAAGAGCUGAUCCAAAAUCUGUUCCUAGGGGAAACUUUACCCUGUACAUCAUGUGUUUUCUCUUCGGUAUUUGUUAGGGUCCUUGCUAUUUGGGAUGCUUGGGACGUCCCAACAAUGUCAUCCCAUUCAAGUUUAAAUUUAAACUAGUCUAGGUAAGGGUUAAGGUUCGGUUCGAGGUUAAGGGCUCAGACACAGCAGUAGUGUUUUCUGGCCCAGAGUACUUGGCCCCUCUGAACGUAAUUUGUGAACCGAGUGCGCACAGAUUUUACAUGUAGAAUCAGGUUAAAUGUGUCUCUGGUCAGACGUCUAUAAACGGUGGUCCCUAAAACACAGUGCGCUGAACGCUCGACAGACGAACGCUCGACAGACGAACGCUCGACAGACGAACGCUCGACAGACGAACGCUAAAUCCCCAUUCGGUGCCAUAUGUGCAAGCCUUUCAAGUUAGGUUUAGGGUAGGGAUGUCCCAACCAUUCCCAAUAGCACUAACCCAUUAGUUUGUGUGUUUGGUUGAGCAGCAAGACGCCGGGACUUCCCUAGUGGUAACCUGAGUUACCUGUGUUGUUUCCAGACACGUUGUCAGGGUGAUACUGGUGUAAAUAGCUGAUUGGACGAUGCUGUGAUUGAGUACAGGGGUGUAUUCACUAGGAAAUAAACAGAAGCAAGCGGGACAAAAUGGGGAGGAGACCUACCUAAAAAAUGUUAUGCUACAGUUGGUGUGCACAAAUAGACACCUCAACACUGGUUACCAAAUGGAGACUACACCUAUUAUGUAAAUAAUUAUUUCACAUAUUUUAGUUCAUGUUUUUUUUGGGGGGGGGGGGUGAAUUAAAUAAAUGUUCUUAGAAAGCAUUUAGAAUGUAUUGAAGACAGAAAGAGAUGUGGUAAUGUUGUUUUAUAUGGGACCAGACAGGAAGAGAUGUGGUAAUGUUGUUUUAUAUGGGACCAGACAGGAAGAGAGGUGGUAAUGUUGUUUUCUAUGGGACCAGACAGGAAGAGAGGUGGUAAUGUUGUUUUCUAUGGGACCAGACAGGAAGAGAUGUGGUAAUGUUGUUUUCUAUGAGACCAGACAGGAAGAGAUGUGGUAAUGUUGUUUUCUAUGGGACCAGACAGGAAGAGAGGUGGUAAUGUUGUUUUAUAUGGGACCAGACAGGAAGAGAGGUGGUAAUGUUUUUUUCUAUGAGACCAGACAGGAAGAGAGAGGGUAAUGUUGUUUUCUAUGAGACCAGACAGGAAGAGAGAUGGUAAUGUUGUUUUCUAUGGGACCAGACAGGAAGAGAUGUGGUAAUGUUGUUUUCUAUGGGACCAGACAGGAAGAGAUGUGGUAAUGUUGUUUUCUAUGGGACCAGAAAGCAAGAGAGAUGGUAUUGUUGUUUUCUUUGGGACAGAACCUCAUCCCUGUGAUGAAAUUCCUGCUUCUCAAAUGGUGCCCUAGUCCUCUACUAUUGACCAGGGUAGUGCACUAUAAAAGGACUAGGGUGCCGUUUGGGAAGCACGGUAUACUUUAACAUUUUGUAUUUGUUGAAGGAAUGAUCUGAUUGGGACUUUGUAUUGCUAAAUGUUUCCUAUUCCUAUCUCUGUAGAAUCAAAUGAACAUGUCAUUACUAAUAUAUUAAAGAUCCAUUUGUAUGUG